GUUCAGCUGAAGAGUCCAAAAGCAGGACGAAACGCUCAUCCUGGAU
rnacentral:hammerhead_ribozyme from 1 species